UGUUUUAGUUAAAACAGUAGGAGAUCUCAAUUAGUGAGUCACUGGAUCACCAGAUAAGGGAUGAAGAACAGUCACAACCUUUUAGAUUGGUCUUUCUUGCCUUUUAGAGUUGUUUCUGUCUCUGCAGACUGUUCCCAAAAUUAUAUUUGUCACUAGGAUUUGAGAUCUCAUAACCUUUAUAUCUUUCCUUUCAGAGAUUCCUGGUGACUUUCUCUACAGUUUCUACUGUCACUUGUACACCUCCUGACAGAUGUUCCUCUACAGUGGAAGGAAACUACUGGUAUCAGUGACUAAAUACAUCAUGGAGUUAUGGUACCUAGGUCUACAACUGCAUGCAGAUGGUGACAUGCUCAUAUGAGAAGCCUCAGAGGACAGCGAAUGAAAUGCAACCAGGUAUUACUCAGCUUAAGUCAUGUUUGCAGCUUUGUUGAAUUGACAGACUAGAAAGUAUUUUCAAGUCACAGGAAUAACAUGCUUUCUGAACUUACUGAGUAUAAUGAAAGGUAGUAUUUGUAUUUGUUCUAGGAAAUGUGCAGUUAAAGACUCGUUAUAAACAUGCAAAAAUUCAGACUUCUUAAUUCAGUAUAAAUGAAAUUGAUAUCUAGACACUUAAAUAUGAUUGAAUUACUAUAAUUUUUUCUAUUUUUCCUCACUAAAUCUGCUCUUCCUACUACAUCUGACAAUGCUGCAAGUUCUUUUGUAUAAACCCUUUUAUAAAGUAAUAAAAGUUUAAUGAAUGUAUAAUGAAGCUUUCCA
rnacentral:lncRNA from 1 species